rnacentral:rRNA from 1 species
GCUGGUAACCCUAGAUGCUCGUUUUGCAGAGAUAAAGGAACUUCUCAAAAUCUAUUUUUUACUUGCCCAGUUGCCCGGGUCGUUUGGAGGACUGUUGGGUGUGUGCUGGGCAUGGAACUAUGCCCGAACAACCUUUGGCAAUUCUUCUCCUGGUGCUAUAUAUUCUUACUAGAUGGAGCCAAAUUCUAUACAUUUGGCCUUGCAGCAAUGUGCUGGGCAAUCUGGAACUGCCGCAACCAAGUUACCUUUGAGCAGGAAAAACUUAGGACCCCUUUUAAUGUGGUGUUCUCGGCUUGUGUAUUUCUGACUUAA